rnacentral:rRNA from 1 species
AUUGAACGCUGGCGGAAUGCUUUACACAUGCAAGUCGAACGGCAGCACGGACUUCGGUCUGGUGGCGAGUGGCGAACGGGUGAGUAAUACAUCGGAACGUGCCCAGUCGUGGGGGAUAACGUAGCGAAAGCUACGCUAAUACCGCAUACGAUCUAAGGAUGAAAGCGGGGGAUCGCAAGACCUCGCGCGAUUGGAGCGGCCGAUGGCAGAUUGGGUAGUUGGUGGGGUAAAGGCUCACCAAGCCGACGAUCUGUAGCUGGUCUGGGAGGACGACCAGCCACACGGGGACGGAGAACGGGCCCAGACUCCUACGGGAGGCAGCAGUGGGGAAUUUUGGACAAUGGGCGCAAGCCUGAUCCAGCCAUUCCGCGUGCAGGAUGAAGGCCCUCGGGUUGUAAACUGCUUUUGUACGGAACGAAAAGGCUCUGGUUAAUACCCGGGGCUCAUGACGGUACCGUAAGAAUAAGCACCGGCUAACUACGUGCCAGCCGCCGCGGUAA